rnacentral:rRNA from 1 species
AUGGGGCAUGGGCUUCAGGAGUAUGCAAGCAGAAAUGGAGGGAGGAAAAUGCGUAUUGAUUUUACAGCAGGGAAAGUGAGACCUACAGACCCAGUCCAAGCAGCAAAGCUUUCUUCUGAGUGUGGUAUCCACAUCAGGAGCAGAAUGCAUGUUGCUACGCACUGGAAGGACUAUGCCAAAAGCCCACUCAAACAUGUUAUUCCCCAUGCUAUUAAAGAUAUCGCGCUUAACUUUGAGAUGGAAAAGGAUGACAAGGUUGGGAAUGAUGUAUGCACAAAAGUAAUCCAGAAGGGUGUUCAACAACAACGCUACAGGCUAAAGAAGAAAUACUUCAAUGGUUAUACUGCUCAGGAAGCAUUAUCAAAUAAGCCAACAAACAUUACUCACGAGAAUUGGACCAGCCUUGUCAAUAAAUGGUCCGAUGAAAGAAACAAGCAAUUAUGUCAAAUGAAUAAGGAAAACCGAGAAGCUGUCAAGCAUCACCAAAAGACUGGAUCUAUGUCUUAUGUUGCCUAUUUCAGCAAACUUAAAAAAGACAAGUACAAUAAUCAGGAACCAAGUCCCAUUGAGUUUUUCAAAGACACCCAUACAAACAGCAAGACUGGUAGCAUGAGCGAGCCGACACUUCUAGCUCAUAAUGCGAUGGAAAAGAAAAGGAAAACACAAUCAGAAGGUGAGCAGCCAGUAUCUGAUACAGCGAUUGUGGCUGAAGUUCUAAAGGACGAAAGCGCCCAUAGCACCUUCCUUUCCAGCAUGGGGUAUGCAUCAAGAUCUGGGAGGUCUGGGAGCUCUACUUCAUCAGCCCAGUUCCGAAUUUUAGAAGAAAGAAUUGAACAGAAGGAUAGAGAGGCAAGAGAUGCAAAUGACAGGUGA